GUGAAGCGGGAAAAGCUCAAAUUUAAAAUCUGGCGGUUUUGGCCGUCCGAGUUGUAGUCUGGAGAAGUGCUUUCCGCGCCGGACCGUGUACAAGUCUCCUGGAACGGAGCGUCAUAGAGGGUGAGAAUCCCGUCUUUGACACGGACUACCGGUGCUUUGUGAUGCGCUCUCAAAGAGUCGAGUUGUUUGGGAAUGCAGCUCAAAAUGGGUGGUGAAUUCCAUCUAAAGCUAAAUAUUGGCGAGAGACCGAUAGCGAACAAGUACCGUGAGGGAAAGAUGAAAAGCACUUUGGAAAGAGAGUUAAACAGUACGUGAAAUUGCUGAAAGGGAAACGAUUGAAGUCAGUCGCGUCGUCCGGAACUCAGCCUUGCCUCGGCUUGGUGCACUUUCCGGUUGACGGGCCAGCAUCGAUUUUGACCGGCGGAUAAAGGUUCGAGGAAUGUGGCACCCUCGGGUGUGUUAUAGCCUCGGAUUGUAUACGUCGGUUGGGAUCGAGGAACUCAGCUUCGGCUUAGGAUGCUGGCGUAAUGGCUUUAAACGACCCGUCUUGAAACACGGACCAAGGAGUCUAACAUGCCCGCGAGUGUUUGGGUGGUAAACCCAGGCGCGUAAUGAAAGUGAAAGUCGAGACCUCUGUCGUGGAGGGCAUCGACGCCCGGACCUGACCUUCUGUGACGGCUCCNCGGUAGAGCGUGUAUGUUGGGACCCGAAAGAUGGUGAACUAUGCCUGAAUAGGGUGAAGCCAGAGGAAACUCUGGUGGAGGCUCGUAGCGAUUCUGACGUGCAAAUCGAUCGUCAAAUUUGGG
rnacentral:rRNA from 1 species